CCUUUGACGUUAGCGGCGGACGGGUGAGUAACACGUGGGUAACCUACCUAUAAGACUGGGAUAACUUCGGGAAACCGGAGCUAAUACCGGAUAAUAUUUCGAACCGCAUGGUUCGAUAGUGAAAGAUGGUUUUGCUAUCACUUAUAGAUGGACCCGCGCCGUAUUAGCUAGUUGGUAAGGUAACGGCUUACCAAGGCGACGAUACGUAGCCGACCUGAGAGGGUGAUCGGCCACACUGGAACUGAGACACGGUCCAGACUCCUACGGGAGGCAGCAGCC
rnacentral:rRNA from 1 species